UCUCUCUUUUCUGUACUUUAUUGGCCAACACGCUCUCUUUCUCUCUCUAUGUCCUUGCCUCUCCUUGUGCUGUCUCCCUUCGUAGGACAUGGGCAGGAGUGCUAGGUGUGCAUCCACACAGGUCAGGUCUUGGGAGCCAUGGAGAAGUUGAAGCAGAGAAAAAUCAUGAGGAGCAGUGGGUGCUGAAGUGGAGCGGUGACUCUGUUUACUUGUCUCUGUUCAUGGAGUUGGGCUCAGAGGAAGUGUCCAGGAGCCCCAGCCCGAGGAGAAGCUGGCAGAAGUGGACCUGAUCAGUCUGAACAUCCUUCUAAACAGACAUGAGCAGUCCUCAGCUUUCUGCCUCCCGCAUAACUACACUUCAUUACUUUAGCAGCACGGCUGAAGCCUAAGAUAAAUGCAGGGUAGAGGAUUAGCACAGACGGCUGCUUCCCUUUAGGUGUAAUGGGAAAUGAGUGAAGAAGAACCUACACAACACUGCAGAUUCCGAUGGUAACUUUUGUUUGUCUGUGGUACUAAGCAAAACACGAGGGAGAAAGAAGUCAAGGGUAAGAGCCCACUCCCGUUGUGAGAUGGAAAGCACACAAGGCCCAUGAGACAGUGAGCGUUGUUGAUGCCAGGCUAUGCAGAUGCCGUCGAGCUGGGAGUGGAGCAGCUGUCACCAUCAGUGAGAUAAGUGUCUGGCUUGGUGAGGACUCUGGUAAUGGCCCACCUGCCUCCAGGCUGGGACUUGUCGUUAGCAGGGGCUUGAUUUGUAGGAAAAGAUUCCUGACUAGCUGUAGUUACGAGGGAGACAAGGUCCCCAUUUUCAGGGGCUGGUCAUUUCUCCGUCCACAAGCAGUGUGUCCUCUGCAGGAGAAGGUUGGAUCCAGGGGGAUGAGUUCUUUGCCUUCCUACUGCGUGUCGCUCUCUUUCUUUCUUUCUUUCUCUCUCUCUCUCUCUUUUCUGUACUGUGUUGGCCAACACACACUCUCUCUCUCUCUCUCUCUCUCCCCC